GAAUUAAGUGAUUCAGAAAGAAGCUUCUAACUUUUUUUCUAAGCGGAGAAUCUCCGUUUUUAAUUCU
rnacentral:tRNA from 1 species